AUACUGUUUCCUAAUGUUGCCUGUUUCUCCUCUUUUGUACUGUUUCUCUCUUUAAAGGGAGAAACAGGUUAUGCACAGGAGAGAAAACAGAAUGCAAAAAGAGAGGAAGCCCAGAUCAUUCUGUUAAAAUGUGCAGUUUAAAAUAAAAACAGUCCGACCCGUUCGCCACACGCCGGCGCCGCCUUGACGGCGACGAGAUCGGGCUGGGGUGUCGCGUGGCGCGACGCGAGGACGUCUUCGAUGUCGUCGUGGGAGAAGCAGAGGCGUAGUCGGCUGGAAUUCUGCGACGACGGGGAGGAGGAACAAAUAUUCCAAGACCGGCAGCGCCAGAGGAAGAAGACCGCGGCGCUGGUGGCGGCCGUUGCGCUCGCUCCCCUCCUGCGCCCGCUUGUUGGCCUCCCUUACUUCUUCUCGCCGUAUGUCUUGCUUUCUCCGCAUCCGACCCCGAACCCCUUCCCAGCUGGCCGUAACCGCACGCGGCGAGUGAGAUCGGCGGGGGUCAGCAGUCGGCGGGGAGAGGGAGAGAGGGAUCGCGGUACGAAGGCGAGGUGAAAGGUGAGGAGCCCGGGCGACGAAGUGAAGAAGGUAUGAAGUGAGGAGGGAGGCCAGACGGUAGAGAAAGAAGCGCGGUCGCGCUUUAUACUUUUCUGGCGCCGCAAUGAGCAAAAUAAAGACGGACAAAACGAAGAAGGAGAGCAGAAAAGGAAGUGAAAAAGUAAUAAGGCGUAUUUGUCGAGUUUGCCUGGAUAAAAGUUAGCGUCGACGAUGAUGCUGCAAAAACGAAGAAAGAGAUGACCCGGUUUUGCAAAAGCCCCAAAAAGUACGUGAAUUUUUUAUGACAGAAGCCAUAUAUAAUAUAUAUAUUAUAUAUAUUAUUAUUAUAUAUAUAUAUAGUGGAGGUGAGAAUUCUAUCUGAUAGCAAAACGGGCCGUGCACCAUUUGUUUUCGUAUAUGGAGCCUCUUAAUCGACGAUCGGUUACCGUUGGACAAUGAUCUAUACAAUUGAAGUGAUUAUUUAAGAAAAUCAAAUUUCAAUCAUUUUCUACAUAUUUGCCUAAUGAUCAAAGCAAGUUGCUUCAAAAUAUUGUAAUUUUAAUGGAAUAGAUAUGAGCAAAACUUUUUCUCGGAUUUACGGCGCAAAGAAUCAAUUAAUUGAAUUUUGUUAAGAAAUGAAUUCUGUUAAUAUUUUAAAACCAAAUAUAUACUCUUUGAUCUUGAUUACAAGAGAUCCUCAUUCAUUUUUUUUAAAGAAUAUUCUUUUCAACCGUGUCUUUUUUGUGUCAUCGAUGGAUAAUGGAGAAAACAAUCAGAAAGUGUAUGAAAUUUUGAAUUUAUAACACUUAAAGUGGGAUAGAUCAUGUUCAACGGUGUCAUUCGAUCGAUUUGGAGGUCAGAUCAAUCGAAAGCAAAUAAGAUUGGACACGGAACCAUGUGCUAAAUCGAUAAUAAUUCAUAUACACUCUAUUAUAUAUAAUUAUAUAUUAAUUAUAUUAUAUAUUAUAUAUAUAUAUAUAUAAUAAUAUAAUAUAAUAAAGUUGACUAGAAUAACAUAUCGGACGUAAACGUAGUAUUCUAGCUAAUAAGAGAAUGAGUAUUAUGAAAUUAUUUCUAAACCUCAAGUGGUCUAGAUUCAUGUCCAACGGCUACACGGUGAUCGAUCGGAUUUGGAGGUCCAUCAUCGCAACAAAUGCGAGUGGCAAUGAGCUGUUUGCCUAUCGUAAUAAUAUCGAUAGUCACUCUAUACAUAUAUAUUAUAUUAUAUAUAUAUAUAUAAUUUUCUUACUAUAUUAAUAUAUCAUAGAUAAGUAUACUUAUAUAUAUAUAUAUAAAGAGUUGCGUUAGAAUAAUAUACGGUAGAUAACGGAAGCCGUUUUACUAAUCGAUUUUGUUUUCAGAUGAUAGAGCUUCCAAAAUCAAUCGCUUCGUUUAACAUAAAUUAUACCACAUUGAACGUGUUUAGAAAUCCAAUUUAAAUAUUGUUCGACAUUCAUUGAAAUACAUGAAUCAAAGGGUAAUUCAAAAUUAUGCAAUUUUAAAUGGUCAGAUAGAGGCGCUUUCUGUUUAACGGCGUAAGAUAAUUCAAAUCAAUUGAAUUAUUUGUUAGAAAAUUCUUUUAGCUAUUUAAAUAAGAUCUAUAUCUUAUCUUUGAUUACAAGAUCUAUCAUCAACUUUUUUUUAAGGUAUUCAUUUUAGUCAUUCAUUUUUUAUGUUCCUUGAUGGGAUAAGGCAACAAUAUCGAAAGUGCAGUGUGAAAUUUGAUUGUGUACAUAGUUUUAAAUGGUUUAGAAUAUAUAUUACGGAGGCGAUGUCAAUUUGAAGCUUAAUUAUCGAAAACAAAUCGGUAGUAAAACGGACUGUUGACUACGAUAUGUAUUCGUAGCUCAACUCACUAUAUUAUAUAAGUUAUAUAGAGAGAAGGAGAGGAGAGAAGAGAGAGAUCGAACGAUGAGAGACGGCAAUGAGAGAGAGAGAGAAGGAAGAGUAAGUGGAUGGAGCUACUAGUAGUAGCAAUAUCCAUUGUUGCUACCAGUUUUUUAGGCCUAUUGAUCAACUACUUUCAUCAUUAUUUCAAUAGUCAUUGGUUAAUACUAUAACCAGUGAGGAUCACUCACCCCCCCAUAGGGGACCCACAACUCGCUAACUAACUGUAUAUCCGACCUACAAUUUUAUCCAAGGUGUUAAAACUUGAGAGGUAUUAUAUUAAUCGUUUUCGUGACCUAAUUCUUCUUAUCUCUCUCUCUCCGUAUUAUAUAUAUAUAUAUAUAUAUAUAGUAGAGCUACUAUACUAUCGGAAGCAUAAAGUGGUUGGUGCUUUCGAUUUUUUAGCCCUUAGAUCAACUCGAUUGAUUAUUUCUAACAAUUGGAUUAAUAUUAUUAACCAAUGGGGAUCACUCAACUCUAGGGGGACCACUAAACCCUAAGGGAAUCGCCAUCAUCCCAACUGUAGAAUUUUUGAUCCAAGGGCUAAAAAAUUGAAAGCACCAAUUACUUUAUGCUUCUGAUAGCAUAGUAGCUCUACACUAUAUGAGCGUGUUUGGUUCGCUUCUUUUUCACCAUGGAAUCGGAAUCGAAAUGGUGAAUUCAUUUAUGGGUGUUUGCUAUGCGAGAAUCCCAUUCCGAUUCCGAUUCCCGAGUGGAAUAGGAAUCUCCCAAUCACCUCUUUUUCCAAUUCGGCCUAGAAGGCCGGAUUGGAAUUUGAAUCCGGACAGAAUGGGUAUUUAUUCAGAUUAAAUUUAUUUUUUCAACUUUUUUUAAUUAAAAUAUGUGUUUAAAUUUAGAAAUAAAAUUUAUAAUUUUAAACUUUAAUUUGAAUUUGAAUUAAAAAUUAAAAUUUAAUCAAGUAUUUUGAAUCUAACUUAUAAAUUUGAAUUUAGAUUAAAUUUUAAUUUAUAUAAAGUGUUUUCAAAAUUUAUUUAUAACUUAAAUUAAAUUUAUGGAUUAAAAUUAAAAUUUAAAUUGUAAUUUUAAGUUUGAAUUUGAAUAAAUCGAAAUUUAGUUUUAUAUUUUGAAUUAUCCAUUCAACUUCAAAAUUUUAUUUUUUUUAAAAAAAAUAGANAUUUUUUUAAAAAAAUGGAUUUAAAAUUUUGACAUCAUUUUAAAAUUUUGGUGUAAAAUUUUAAUAUUUAAUUUUUAAUUUGAAUUUAAAUUAAUAUAUUAUAAAGAUAAAGUUAAUAUAUUAAUUUGAUUUCGUUUUUUAUAUCUACCUGAACCAAACACUGAUAAUAGGAAUAAUUUAUUCUGAUUCCGAUUCCGAUUCAGGUAACGAACCAAACAGAAUUAGGUAAUGAGUCAUUCUGAUUCCGAUUACAACUUAUUUCGAUUCCGAUUAUAUAUGUAUAGGCUAGGACUACUAUACUCUUAUGAGUAUAGAGCACUUCGUACUUAUAACUUAUUUUCAAUGAUGGCGUUUCCGAAUUGACAAUCCACUCCGUUAAAUAUGAUCUAAAGUAUUUGAAACUUUUAGAAAAUAAAUUUCGUAAUUUUUCAAAAUCAUAAUAAAGUUCAUCAAGCGAGUAUAAAAUGAGCGGUCAAAAUCAAACGACGUCUUAAAAAUGGAUGAUCGGAUCCUUCAAUUUAAGAUCGGAGUUAUUGAUCUUUAUCUAUGUAGUCAAUAUAAUUUUUUAUCAAAAAUUCAACUAAUUUUGAUUCUUUUACACCGUUAAACUGGUAUAUAUCCCAUACCGGCCGUUAAAAGUUGUCAAUUUUGUGAUAUUUUGAUCGUAAGGUAAAUGAUAUCGAAAAAUUAUAAAAUUUGAUUUCCAGACGUUUUAAAUGCUCUAGAUAACGUUUAAUGGUGUGGAUCGUCGAUUCGGAAGCUCUAUCAUUGAAAAUAAUUUAUGAGUACGAGGGCGAUCGUACUCAUAAGAGUAUAGUAGCCGGACGACUAGGGCGAUCAAUGAUAGGACAUCCGAUUCGACGAUCGGUUCCGUUCGGUAUAAUCUACCCUAUUGGAACUAUCUAGAAACCAAAUUUUAUAAUUUUUUUACAUCUUUUACUAAGAAAUCAAAAGGUCUCAAAAAUGACUAUUUUAACGGCCAAUGCAGUACGUUUUUAAGUUCAACGGUGUAGAAGUAUCCAAAUUACAUGAAAAUUUAAUAAAAAAUUCUACUUAAUAUCAAUAGCAAGAUCAAUACUUUCGAUUUAAAAUUUGAGUCCUUUAUCAUUAUUUUUUAUGAGAUUUUUAUUCUCAGCCGUUCAUUUUGAGACUACUCGUUUACUAGGCAAACGAAGUCAAAAAAUUAUGAAAUUUAGUUUCUAGAUAGUUCCAAUAGCGUAGAUUAUGUCUAACGGAACCGAUCGUCGAAUCGGACGUCCCAUCAUCGAAAAUAACUUAUAAGUACGGAGGCCCUUGUACUUUCAAAAGUAUAGGAGCCUAGCUNGAUAUUUUGAUCGUAAGGUAAAUGAUGUCGAAAAAUUAUAAAAUUUGAUUUCCAGACGUUUUAAAUGCUCUAGAUAACGUUUAAUAGUGCGGAUCGUCGAUUCGGAAGCUCUAUCAUCGAAAACAAUUUAUGAGUACGUAGGCAAUCGUACUCAUAAGAGUAUAGUAGCCGGACGGCUAGGGCGAUCAAUGAUAGGACAUCCGAUUCGACGAUCGGUUCCGUUAGGUAUAAUCUACCCUAUUGGAACUAUCUAGAAACUAAAUUUUAUAAUUUUUUUACAUCUUUUACUAAGCGAUCAAAAGGUCCCAAAAAUGACUAUUUUAACGGCCGAUGCAGCACGUUUUUAAGUUCAACGGUGUAGAAGUAUCCAAAUUACAUGAAAAUUUAAUAGAAAAUUCUACUUAACGUCAAUAGCAAGAUCAAUACUUCCGAUUUGAAAUUUGAGCCCUUUAUCAUUAUUUUUUAUGAGAUUUUUAUUCUCAGCCGUUCAUUUUGAGGCUACUCGUUUACUAGACAAACGAAGUCAAAAAAUUAGGAAAUUUGGUUUCUAGAUAGUUCGAAUAGCGUAGAUCAUGUCUAACGGAACCGAUCGUCGAAUCGGACGUCUCAUCAUCGAAAAUAACUUACAAGUACGGAGGCUCCCGUACUUUCGAAAGUAUAGGAGCCUAGCUAUAUAUAUAUAUAUAUAUAUAUAUAAUUGAGCUAGAAUACUUUUAAAAGUAUCACCACAUUAGUGUUUUUAGAUUUCUAGCCCUUCGAUCUACUCCUUGAUUACUAAUAGUCAUUGGAUCAAACACUAUUCCACCUACCACCACCUACCACCAUCAUCCCAACCUUACAUUUCUCCAUUCAAGAGUUGAAAACUCAAAAGCACCAAUCUCUUGGUGCUUUUGAAAGUAUUCUAGCUCAACUCUCUCUCUAUAUAUAUAUAUAUAUAUAUGUGUGUGUGUGUGUGUGUGUGUGUGAUUUUUGUUCGCUGUAUGGAGAAUAAAUUCAUGGAUUACAUGUGUUUUCUGAAAUUUCAGUAAAUUAUAAUUUAAUAUUUUGUUAAUUACGAAGAAUAUGUAGCUAACUUGCUAUCUGAUACUGCAUAAAACAAUGGAUUAUAUAUGUUUAAAUAACCAGAAAAAAACAUUCUCUAGAGCAAGUGGCAAAGGGCUUGGUAAUUGGUACGUACUCAGGACCCAAGUUCGAAUCCUAAUUGAUUCACAUUUUCAGCUAAGUUUAUUUCUAAAAAAAAUAAAACGAAGCCGGUAGUGUGUUACCUAUCUCUCAAAAAAAAAAAAAACUAGAAAAUAUAAUUUUUUCAAUAUUUUAUAUUUAAUAGUUCUUGAGGCUUCCUUUUUAUUAGAUGAGGGGUGGAAACUGUCACUUGUGGGAGCUCCACAUUUUGUGAAGUUUUUUGAAUGUUUUUUAGUUCCUUGUUUUCUUGUUUGCUUUUUUGUUAAAUUAUUAAAACUCAAUUUGUGCAUGAAAAAUUUACAUUGGUGUGAGUAUUGUUUGGUUUGUUUACAUUUGUACACUGAGGUAACUCUUUUCUUGUUUGAUUACAUAUGUUUUGUUUGUGUAUGAAAAAUUUACAUUUGUACACUGAGGUAACUCUUUUCUUUUGUUUCGUUUGUUAUUGGUGAAUAUAUUGUCUACAUUGGUGUGAGUAUUAAUUGUUUGGUUUUUUCUUUUUGUCCUCUCCUGCAAUAUGAUGUAUAUUUAACCCUUUCUUAAAAAUAAAUAUAUAUAAACUAAAUUAUAUAAAACUCCCUGUCAAAAUUUGAUUUUUACUUUUUUUUUUCUGUCAUUUAAAAACCUAUAUUUCACUCCCUUGUAAAAUAAAAAAUAUUCACAGAGGGGAUACGAUGUGAACUGUGAUGACAAAAUGACCAUUUUGCCCUUCACCAUUUUCGUCUCCUCUCUCAUCUUGCUCAUCCGCCACCUCGAUCGGCCGCGGUUCCUCUCCAUUUUCUUCUCCACCUGUUCAUUUUCUCCUCCUACACCCUCGUUUGUCCCUCCAUUUCAAUGACAAUAGAAAGAAAAUCGAGAUGGGCGUGGAUGGAGAGGUGGGCAAGGGCAACGGCGGAGGAGGGCGAGGGAGUGUUUAUGGGCGCGGACGAAGAUGUGGGCGAGGGCGAGGCAGUGGAGGAGGGCGGGGCCGCGAGGCUUCGAGGCGGAGGAGGGCGGAGGGUAUUUUUUGCAUUAAAAAAAUAUUUUAUAACGGAACCCUAACGGAUCACUAAUGUUAGGGAGUAAAGUGAAUAUUUUUUAUUUUACAAGGAGGCCAAAGUGUAUAUUUUAAAUGACAGGGGGAGAAAAUAAACAAUCGGGUUUUGCCGGAGAAUUUUUUGUAAUUUAACAUUAUAAAAUAGAAGGCUUUAAAAAAGUAAUGGGGUAUGAGAUGUAAUAUUUUUAGAAGCACAAAACAGUUUAUAAUUUUAGAAUUGAGCAUCAAAAUUGAAGGUUAAAGCUAUUAAACAUGAUAAUGAUAUUUGAACUUUAUAUAGGCAUAAUUCGCAAUUACGGUAUCAUUAACCACCUAAUCAAAUAGUCUCUAAAUUGGUAAUUUCAAUGCUCGAAGUGUUUUCCUGUCUAAUAGUGUAGAACAUUCAAAAUUUUUUUGAUAGUAUAGAGCGCACUGCAUUUUUAUUAGAUUCACAAUUCAUGCAUUGUAUAAGAUUUUUACCAUGCCAUCAAUAUUGCAUGACUAACAGAUAACAAAUUUAAACAGUGAAAGAAUAAUAUCUUUUAUGUUUAUAUUAAAAAUUUCUGAUCAUAUUUAGGUUUAAAAUUGUUGAUAGGCCCGUGACGCCUAAUGGAAUUAAGAAUUCAGAAACUUUUAUUCUGAUAUCAUCUUAAACCACUCGACCCCAACCCAAAAUGUAAUCAUAUACAACACAUACAAUCACAUUAAUUAAUAAAUUAAUUGUGCUGGGACAUAGACUCGGAGUUGUCUCACCAAUUACAAAUAGGUGACACAAAAUUUAAUUCAUUUAUCAAGAACAAUGGACCACUGUACCAACAAAGAGCCACAUACGUAUAUACAGUACAUAAUCCUCGUCUAAAGUAGAAAUGUCCAUUAAGAAGCAUCACGUGUGACAUACUCCACAUUGUACGAAUGUUGGAACCAGGGUUAAUUACACCAGUAGUCCCCAACCUUUCCACCAAUUUUUACUUGGGUCCUCAACUUUUUUUUUUUUAAAUUACGUUCCUAAUCUCUUGAUUUCAUUUCAAUUAAGUUCCGGUCGUUAGAUAGGUGUUAAAAUUGACGAAAAAUAUCACGUCAGCACCAUGUCAGCGCCACGGAAGUGUUGUGUUAGCGGAUUGCACAAAAAAAAAAAGAUUGGGGUCCAAAUUGAAAAACCGUGCAAAGGUUGGGGACUAGUGGUGUAAUUAAUCUAUUAAAUUUAUAAAUUCAAAUCAAGAUUUUUAAUUUAAGAUUUAAAUUUUAAAUUUAAAUUUUGAUUUUGUAUUCAAAUUUAAAUUAGAAUUCAAAUUCCGAUUUUGUAUUUAAUUUUAAAUUUUUAAUUUUAAAUUCAAAUUCGCACUUCGAAUUCUAAAUUCUAAUUUAAUUUCAAACUCGAUUUGAAAUUUUAAAUUCAAAAUGUGAAUUUGAAUUCGAAGUUUAAAUUCAAGUUUAGAAUUGAAAUCAAAUCUUAAAUUCAAAUUUAAAUUUUGAAUUCAAAUUUAAAAUUUAAAAUCAAAAUUUUGAAUAUGAUUUUAAAUUUAAAUUUCGGUUUCANACCACUGUACCAACAAAGAGCCACAUACGUAUAUACAGUACAUAAUCCUCGUCUAAAGUAGAAAUGUCCAUUAAGAAGCAUCACGUGUGACAUACUCCACAUCGUACGAAUGUUGGAACCAGGGUUAAUUACACCAUUAGUCCUCAACCUUUCCACCAAUUUUUACCGGGAUUCCCAACCCUUUUUUUUUACAAUUAAGUUUCUAAUCUCUUGAUUUCAUUUCAAUUAAAGUUCCAGCAGUUAGAUAGGUGUUAAAAUUGACGAAAAAUACCACGUCAGCACCAUGUCAGCGCGAUGGAGAUGUUGUGUCAGCGGAUUGCAAAAAAAACAAACAGAUUGGGAUCCAAAUUGAAAAACUGUGCAAAGGUUGGGGACUAGUGGUGUAAUUAACAUAUUAAAUUUAUAAAUUCAAAACAAGAUUUUUAAUUUAAGAUUUAAAUUUUAAAUUUUAAAUUUUGAUUUUAGAUUCAAAUUUAAAUUAGAAUUCAAAUUCCGAUUUUGUAUUUAAUUUUUAAUUUUUAAUUUUAAAUUCAAAUUCGCACUUCGAAUUCUAAAUUCUAAUUUAAUUUCAAACUCGAUUUGAGAUUUUAAAUUCAAAAUGUGAAUUUGAAUUCGAAGUUUAAAUUCAAGUUUAGAAUUGAAAUCAAAUCUUAAAUUCAAAUUUAAAUUUUGAAUUCAAAUUUAAAAUUUAAAAUCAAAAUUUUGAAUAUGAUUUUAAAUUUAAAUUCAGAUUUUAAAUUUAAAUUUCGGUUUCAAAACUUUCAUUUUAAAUGUAAAUUGAAAUAUCAAUAUCAAAAUCAAAAUCAAAAUUUUAAGUUUGAAUUCAAAAUUUAGAUUCAAUUAAAAAUUUAAAUUUAAAAUUUGAAUUUUAAUUUAGUUUUAAAUUUAAAUUUAAAAUUCUAAUUUCUCGUUAGUUUAAAAUUUUAAUUUUAAUAUUAUUUUUGAUUUUAAAUUUAAAAUUUUGAAUUUUUAUUUUUAGGGAAUAAAGUGAAAAAUGUGCAAAGUUUAUGGGCCUAAAUUAACAUGCAAAAGUAUCCCAAAUAGGCGCUGACGUGACGAUUCCGUUAAUUUUAAUAGUUUUUUUAACGGUUCGGACCUAAUUGUAAUAAAAUCAAAAAAUUAGAGACUCAAUUACAAAAAAAAAAGGUUGGGGACCCAAGUGAAAAUUGGUGGAUAGGUUGGGGACUACUAGUGUAAUUAACCCGUUGUAACCAAUUAAUUAACCUGUAGUUGGCCUUUAAUUUUGAAUUUUUUUUUCAUUUUUUUUUACUAAAAUAAAAGAGUAAACUUUACUUUGUACACUUAAUUAUUUUAUCAUAUAUAUUUUGUGAUUCAAAAAAUUAUAUUAAAUAUUGUGAGAUUUUAUUUUUGCUUCACUGCCAUGACCUACUGCAAAAUAAGAUAACAAUGUAUUAUAUAUAUUUUUUAAUAAAUCGCGUAUAGUAUAAAAUAAUAUUUUAUCACCGAUCUUAUUAAUCUUUACUUUAUCACUCUAUGUUUUGAAAAAAUUAUUACUUUAGUAUUCAGUUUGACAAUAUAUAUAUAUAUAUAUAUAUAUAGGUUCUCACGGUAUAAAUAAAUAAAUAAAUAAGACUACAGGGUGACAAAAUAAAGCAUUAAAAUAUAUGGAGGCAAAUUGCAGUUUACUCAAAAUAAAUUUGCAUAAUUUAUUCCCUCAAAAUCCUGAUUAAAAAUUACUAGGCACACCAAUUUCGUCCCAAUUCUUUUUUGAGAAAUGAUUCGGUACAUUCUUUUAAAAAAAAUAAAAAAGAUCUUAACCGUUGAUUAAUAGAGGGUAAAAAUAUAACUUUAAUACUUAGCAUGUAAAAGGAUUAUUUUAUUCAAGGUUAGUUUGGUAAUUAAAUAAUACAUUAAUUUAAAUUAUAGAAAUUUUAAAAAUAGUUUUAUUUCUAAAUAUGAUGAAUUUAAAUUUUAAAAAUUAAAUAUUUAAAAUUUAAAAGUGAAAUUUAAAUUAGAGGAAUCAUAUUACUAUUUAAAAACUAAAAUUCUACCAAGAUUUAAAAUACAGUUUAUUCGCACCAGUUUAAAACGUAAUGCAUAAAAAACUUAGNUUUUUUUUUUCUUUUUUUUUCUUUUUUUUUUUGAGAGAUAGGUAGCACGCUAUUUGUUUCGUUUCGUUUAUUUCCUUUAGAAAUAAACUUAGCUGGAAAUAUAAAUCAAAUAGGAUUCGAACUUGGGACCUCGGGUACCAACCAUGCAUCAAGUCUUUUGUCAUUUGCUCUAGAAAUGAUCGGUACUUUUACUUGAGUGUUAUUUUGGACCUUAAACUUUUUUAGUUUGGCGUUCAAUAUCCCGAUCUUUUAAAAGUGUUUCACACGACUUCUUCUUGUCGUAGAGUUAUGGUUGGCAUCUGUCUAUUAGGGGUGUCAACGAGCUAGACACGAGCGAACUGAGGCCGGCUCUUGUUCGGCUCGUUUCAUAAACGAGCCGGAUACGAGCUGGCUCGUUAAAGUAUUGAGUUGAAAAAUUCAGUCUGUGUUCGGCUGCCGAACAGGAGUUGGCUUAUGAAUAACAAGUUAAAAGAAUUAUGAAGGAUAUGUAUAAAAGAUAAAUUUAUAAAAUUUUAUCCAUUUGACUUUGAUCAAAUAGUUGAAACCUUAUAUAUAAAUUAAAUGACCUGUUUAUAAUUCAGUUAUGCUUUAUAUUUAGGUUAAGCUAAAAACUAAUUAUAUAUUUAUAUAUACAUAAAUAUAAAUAUAUGUAUUUAAGCUAUUAUCGAGCCGAACUCAAGCAAACUAAUCCUAGCUCGUGUUUGACUCGUUUAUUAAACAAACUGAAAAAUUCAGCUCGUGUUCAGCUCGUUUAGUAAACGAGUGAUCGAUCUCGAGCUCAUUUCGAGCUGAACACGAGCUGACUCACGAACAACGAGCUGAAUUGCCACCCCUAUUGUAUAUUAGUGCACCAUGGAUAUUCUAAAGUUAUACUCUUUGGGUGAUCAAUUGGACAGGUAUAUAAAAUAAUAUCAAUAGAAAAUAGUUGGCUUUGCAUGGAUGUACAGAUGAGAUUAAUAAUAAAUAAAUGAUAAAAUUGAAUUAUAAAACGAGACAAAUAGUGGUAAUGCAUCAUAAAUUUUUGUCUACCUGUGAUAAGAAUAAGGACCAAAAUGAAAUACUGUUAAAGAUUUAGUAUACCAAAUUUUAAACUAAAAAACUAAAAUAGACAAUGAUGCAUGUGAGGCUACACAACUCAGGUGCAGAUGUAAGGAAUCAUUAAGAUGUCGUGAGUAUUUUACACUAUGAGAAACAUCCUACAGUUGUAAUAGAAAUGCACUUCUAAAAAUGCAUGAAAUUUAGGUAAAAUCGUAUAUAACUUAUCUGAACUAUAUUUGAUCAUUUUAAAUCAGCUAAACCACCUUUCAAAUUUUUGAUUUUGCUUUUCAAUCUUUCAAUUUGUUUGAUUUGGGUCAGUCAAUGACAUUUUGACUUUAAAAUUUGAAUACAUAAUUUAUCUUUAUAGAUUUAGUUAAUAUAGUUCAUGCAAUUCUUGCAACUAUAAAUUUAUUAACGCAAGAAAUUAGCUUAAAAAUUAAAGUUAAAGUGUUGUUGAUAGACUCAAAUCAAACAAAUUGAAAAAUUGAAUAGUAAAAUUAAAUUUUUGAUAGGUCGGAUGGUAAAUUCAAAAUGAGUCAUUGUUCAGAAAAAUUAUAUAGAUUUGACCUGAAAUUUAUGAUCCUAGCUAAGACCGGCUAUCUAUCUCACUGUUCGUGAGCCGGCCAGCUCGUUUUCCGCUUGAAACGAGUGCGAGAUCGAUCGCUCGUUUAAAUAAGCAAGCCGACCACAAGCUGAAUUUAGCUCAAAAUCUUAAUGAGCGAAACAAUACCCGGUGUCAGCUUGCUAGUGUUCGACUAAAUAUAGCUCAAAUAUUUAUAUAUAUAUAUUACAAGUUUUUACUAUUUAGAUUUUAAUUAUAAAAAGACAUAUUUUAUAAAUUUUAAUUAUCAGCUUAAAGCUUUAAUUUUUUAAGUUUCUUUCAACUAUUCAACUAGAAGUAAGCCUGAAAAUUUAAUUUGUUGUUCGCGAGCCAGCUCGUGUUCGACUCGUUAAUAAACAAGCCGAACACGAGCUAGACUUUUUAGCUCGAUAUUUUUAAUGAGCUAGCUCAUGUUCUGCUCGUUUAAUAAACAAACGAACACGAGCCGGUCCCAGCUCACUCGUGUUUGACUCCUCGACCCACCGAAUCCUAUCUAAAUAUAAAAUGCAUGCAUAGAUGUGUCCUUAUCAGGCAGAAGAAUGGAGAAGAUUGAAUAGGCUUUUAGUUGCAGCAUUGAUUCUCCUGCUACCCCAUUAAUGACAUGGUCAACAAACUUAAGCAAACAUGGGACCUGUUCAGGUACAACUACAUACACUUUUAUUAUGGUGUUAGUUGAGAAAUAAAAUGGAAUUAUAAAGAAAUAUAUAUAAAUCUCUACGGAAUUCUUUUUCCCAGGGCCCUUUUCUCAGAAGCGGCGUUAAUGAUCUACAAGUUUGAGAUUUGAUUCAUUCGCAAGUGCAGGGGAAAGUUGUCGUAUAAUUUUCUUUUUUUAGUGGGUUGCAGAACAUAUCUAAUUUUACUUUGCACUGGACCAUUUUUAAUUGAUUAUGUGUUUUUUUCUUCUUUCUUUAUUUUUUUUGAUAAAUUUUAAAUACUAUCCGUGUGGUUUCACGUUUUCUCAUUUUAGUACCAUAUAAUUUUAUUUUUCUGUUUUCGUUAGCACUUUCAUUAACUCUUCAUUAAAUUAUAUACAAAAACAUUCAGAUUACUAUAGAGAGUAGAGCUAUUAUACUAUCGGAAGCAUAGAAGAUCUGGUGCUUCUGACCUUUUGGCUCUUAGAUCAGCCUCCUUUAAUUAUUUCUAACCUUUAAAUUAAUGCUAUUAUCCUGUGGGGGACUACUCAACUCUAGGGAUACUACUCAACCCAAAAGGGGACUGCAAUCAUCCCAACCAUACAAUUCUUGAUCCAAGAGUCAAAAAGUUGGAAGCAUCAAAUUUUCUAUUCUUCCAAUAGCAUAGUAGCUCUACACUAUUUAUAUAUAUAUAGAGAGAGAGAGAGAGAGAGAGAGAGAGAGUAAGAUUUGUGUGCCAUUAGGAAUAUAGAGGCCUCUGUGCUCUUAAUUUGUUUUCGAUGAUUAGAGUUCCUAAUCGACUAUAUUAAACUUGAUCUAGCGUAUUUAAAAUAUUUAGAAAAUAAAUUUUGUGAUUUUUCGAUAUCAUUUAUCUAGUGAUCGAAUGAGUUCAAAAUUAAUAAUUUUUAAUAGUCGAUGUAUGCCGUUUGCAAGUUUAACGGUAUAAAAAUGUAGUAUCCCUGGUGUUCUGUAGCCGUGAGAUUUCAGCAUCUGAGGCUUGUCGACACAUCUGGAGAGUGACGGGAAGUCCGAGUCGUUUUGACGUGAAAUAGACGCAAAACGGACUCAGUGUGACGCGAGAGCAGGAAUUUAGCACUGAAAUCUGUAAAUUGCAGGUUGUCAACAUUGAUUAUCGGUACCACACAGGGGAGUACCGAUACCCCAGUCUAAUUUUUUGAUUUCUUCUCUCAGGUUGCGAAGGCUGAUGCGGGGUACCGGUAUGGCAUCGGCCUGGUACCGGUACUCCAGGGUAGGUGAGGGGCCUUUUGGUCUUUUGAUGCCUCGAUCAUUUCACCCUUAUCUCCCACCGCUUAUAAAGGAUAGAGGAUCUGAGUGAGAGCUACUGUUUGCUCUUCCCUCUCUGUCUCUAGAUUGAAGCCGUGCGCUUGGUGGAGGUUGCGGUUGGAGCUCGAAUCGACGUCGACUUCGCGGCGGGGAACCGUUUGGGCACACGAGCUUCGUAGUUGCAUCGUUGGGAGGCUGGGCGAGCGCGUGGUUCCUUUCCUGUCGACUUCUCGUCGGAGUUGGAUUAGCUUUCAAGGUGGAUUAAAGUUUACCGAAUUCUUCAGAUUUCCUCCUAAGUCUAGUUUGUUGUCAGUAUGUAUUUUUGGUUUCGUAUAUCAUGUCUAGUAACUCGAUUCGUCGAUUUGCAUUGUUCUUAAAUGAAAUCUAAAUUGGAGCUUUAGUUUAUUAUACAUGUUGGGCUUGGAAUUGACUUAGGAGAAAACUAUAGUUUCUAUACUGUCAUUUUCUGAAAACUAGCAGAUUUAGCUUUAGGAGCUGUAGUUUGUUUGUAUCGUCGUAGUUUGUAGGCGGUAGUACCCAGAAUAGUGUAUAAUGAAUUUACGCUCAUGUUAGGAUGCCGAGUUUAUUUUUACAGUAGUGUAUAGACUGUUCCGGACUGUCGGGUACCGUUGUGGUUGACAGUGGACCCAGAUUUCUGUAUUUUGCACCAGAUUGUGCCGAGAGCACGUGAGUUAUGGUUGUUAGACUAGUUAGCCCCUUCUGCUACUGACUAUAACCUAUGAGAGCCUGAUUAAGCUCGGCAGAGAUACGCUUGCAUACUCGGUUGGGUAGCGCCUACAAGUGCCACUCCGGAGUCGGGUUUUGUACUUUUGCGUUGUUGUCGUUUGUGUCUUGGUUGGACUCGCUCUCCACUGACGACCCAGCGUGGUGAUAGUUAGUGUAGCUUCGACAGGCGGGACGGGUGUGUUCAUAGUUCCUAAUGAAAUUGGGUUAAAGAUUGCAUUUUUCUACAAAUAGUUAGAGUUAGAUCGUAAUAGUAUAGUGGCAUAUAGCUGUAGAAUUGUUCCAGCUUUCUUUACUAUUCUUGAGCAUACUUCUGUAGACUUAGUGGGUGAACCGUUGAGGUCGGUAGCAGUACCCACUGAGGACUACUCCUUUUUACAGUAGUUUUCGCACCCAGUUGUUGGCCCCUUUUUAUAGAGCCAUCUUCUUUGGCUGCUGCUGUUGCAGAUUCUUAUCAUGGAAAGGGAGUCACAAGCUAGAUCCCUUUCAGUUUUGUUGCUGCUUUAGAGGAGUACCAGCUACAGAUAGUUUUGAAUUUUUGGGCCAUGUACAUACUGAUGUUUUAUUCUUGCUGGAGCGAGUGAUGUUGUAUUUGGAGACUAUGUAUGUAUAGUGAACCCGAUAUUUAUUUAUAUAUGUUUACCGUUCUGUUAGCAGCUCUAUACUACUGGUUGUAGUUUUGUAUGAUUGCAGAUACAGAUACAGUUAUCGCUUCGUAUAUAGAAAAUUUUUUUUUGUAUUCGGCAGAUUUGUCAGCGUGUCCGGAAAAACGAGUAAUCCGUGGCGUGACAAAAAAUAUUCAAAUCUGAUAAAAUUUUGAUAAAAAAUUCUUUAUACUAUCUACUAUAAAAUUAAUAUCUAUGAUCGAAAAUUUUAAUACUAUAUUAUAUUUUUUUAUGAGAUUUUUAUUUUCAACUAUUGAUUUUAAGUCCUUUUGAUCACUAGGUAAAUGAUAUUAAAAAACUACAAAAUUUAUUUUCUGAACAUUUCAAAUAUGUUAGAUCAAAUUUAACAGAGUUGAUACUUGAUUUGGAAGUUCCAUUAAUAAAAACGAUUUAGGAACACGAAAAUCUCCGUACUCCUAAUAGCACACAAGUCCUACUCUCUCUCUCUCUCUCUCUCUCUCUCUCUAUAUAUAUAUAUAUAUAUAUAUAUAUAUNCAACUUAGUCAUUUUUGGCUAAGUUGGAGGUAUUUGUAUUGGACACGGUGAAUCAUUCACCGUGUCCAAUACAAAAACCUUGUAUUGAACACGGUGAAUGGUUCACCGUGUUCAACUUAAACACAUAGCCCAGCCCCGCCCACGUGGCGCUGACGUGGCGCUUGCGUGGCGGGGCCAGGGCCAUUUUUGUAAAUAAAAUUUUGACAGGGCUAAUUUAAAAAAAAAAAUUGUCAGGGGGCUAUUUGCAAAAAAAGCCCUGCACUGGACCAUUUUUAAUUGAUUAUGUGUUUUUUUUUCCUUCUUUCUUUUCUUUUUCGGUAAAUUUUAAAUUCAAUCCGUGUGGUUUCACGUUUUCUCAUUUUAGUACCAUAUAAUUUUAUUUUUCUGUUUUCGUCAGCACUUUCAUUAACGACUCUUCGUUAAAUUAUAUAUAAAAACAUUCAGAUUACUAUAGAGAGUAGAGUUAUUAUACUAUUGGAAGCAUAGAAGAUCUGGUGCUUCUAACUUUUUGGCCCUUAGAUCGGCCUCCUUUAAUUAUUUCUAAUCUUUGAAUUAAUACUAUUAUCCUGUGGGGGACCACUCAACUCUAAAGGUACCGUUUGGUUCGGGUAUAAGCAAGAGCUAGCUAUUACAGGGAUAGGUACAAGUAUGAGAAUAAGAAAAAUAGUGUUUGGAUGAAAAUUGGGUUGUUUCCGGGGAUAAGAAUAAUUUUAGAUAGUUUUUUAUAGAAAAUAAAGGUGUUGGUGGGAAUAACCGAGAACUACUAUUUUCGGAUAAAAAAUUAGCAUUUGGAUAUAAAGGGAGGGAUAAGGGCUUAUUCCUAUCCCUAUCCCCUAACCAAACGCUGCCAAAGGGAACUGCAAUCAUCCCAACCGUACAAUUCUUGAUCCAAGAGUCAAAAAGUUGGAAGCAUCAAAUUUUCUAUUCUUCCAAUAGUAUAGUAGCUCUACACUAUUUAUAUAUAUAGAGAGAGAGAGAGAGAAAGAUUUGUGUGCUAUUAGGAAUAUGGAGGCCUCUGUGCCCUUAAUUUGUUUUCAAUGAUUAAAGUUCCUAAUCGACGAUCAACUACAUUAAACUUGAUCAAACGUAUUUGAAAAUAUUUAGAAAAUAAAUUUUGUAAUUUUUCGAUAUCAUUUAUCUAGUGAUCGAAUGAGUUCAAAAUCAAUAAUUUUUAAUAGUUGAUGUGUGCCGUUUACAAGUUUAACGGUGUAAAAAUAUUUAAAUCUGAUAAAAUUUUGAUAAAAAAUUCUUUAUACUAUCUACUGCAAAUUUAAUAACUCUGAUCGAAAAUUUUAAUAUUAUAUUAUAACUUUUUGUGAGAUUUUUAUUUUCAACUGUUGAUUUUAAGUCCUUUUGAUCACUAGGUAAAUAAUAUUAAAAAACUAUAAAAUUUAUUUUCUGGACAUUUCAAAUAUGUUAGAUCAAAUUUAACGGAGUCGAUGCUCGAUUCGAAAGUUUUAUUAUCGAAAACAACUUAGAAACACGAAAAUCUUCGUACUUCUAAUAACACACAAGUCCUAUUCUCUCUUUCUAUAUAUAGUUUAGUACACAAU
rnacentral:lncRNA from 1 species